GGGGGGGUAGCUCAGCUGGGAGAGCGCCUGGUUCGCAAUCAGGAGGUCGUGAGUUCGAUCCUCAUCCUCUCCACCA
rnacentral:tRNA from 3 species